CAUUUGAUUCCCUGUUGUAGCCCUGGGAUCAGCCAUCGUUCUUGGGAUCCCUGAUUCCCUUUAGAAACCAAGAUCUGGUGUUGGGAUAAUGGGGCAGUGGGGGAGGAGAGCAUCUCGAGGACUUGACUACUGGUCGACCUUCAAGCUGGACUCUGGGCAGUUGGAGGCUCUUCACCCGUCCCUGUCCUUGGAAUGUACAUUUCACCCCGCAAUCCCAAGUGGAAGCUGGUUUCAAGGAUGCAGCCUUGAGAGAGUAAGGUGUUGCUGAGACCAUCUGGACUGAGUUAAGGCUUUAGCUGAGUAUAGACUUUUAAGAUUCUGGUGGGCGGGUGCAGAGAACUACUCCUUUUGCAGCUGCCCAAGCCUUGUAUGCAAGUCCUCUUGCUUAUUAAACCUAUACCUACCAA